UGGUUCAAGGAGCGUUGCGACAAACCGUCAAGGGUUUGCCAGGCUUGGACAAGGGUGCCGCAGGCGCCCAGCAACGACGCUCACCGAAU
rnacentral:ncRNA from 2 species